UACGGGGGGGGCAAGCGUUGUUCGGAAUUACUGGGCGUAGAGGGCUCGUAGGCGGCCAACUAAGUCGGAUGUGAAAUCCCCAAGCUUAACUUGGGAACUGCAUCCGAUACUGGAUGGCUUGAAUCCGGGAGAGGGAUGCAGAAUUCCAGGUGUAGCGGUGAAAUGCGUAGAUAUCUGGAGGAAUACCGGUGGCGAAGGCGGCAUCCUGGACCGGCAUUGACGCUGAGGAGCGAAAGCUAGGGGAGCAAACGGG
rnacentral:rRNA from 1 species